AGAGAAAUAUCCCAUCCUGCUAUUGAACCUCUGUGUCAAAUAAUGGUACUGUACUGGUGUUCUGAGUCAUGGCUCAAAAGUAAGGGUCCUAUAGGGCUAGUAUUGAUGGCCUGUGUUGAUAUUUUCAUGUCUUCUCUUCCUGGUGCUCGGGAUUUAACAGAGGGCCUGGUACCUGCUAGGCAAGUGCUCUCCAGUUAAGCUGUAUCUCCGGUCUCUUCUUGUGGUUUUCUGAGCCUGCUCUGGGUGUUUCUGUAUAGCUCAGGUUACCCUCAAUUCAUAAUCUUUCUGCUCUCGAGCCCUGGGUGCUAGGCCUAUAGGAAUAUGCUGUCAUGUCUGGCUUUUUCAUUAGGUUGUCAGGUUGUAGAUUCGAUGGAGUCACAAGGAUUGACCCACCUUAAUGGCUGCCCAGUACAGGAGGAAGGGCAGCUACGAGAUUCUGCAGAGGGGAACUGAUUCAUUUUGCAUCAACUCAUAUGCCAUAUAUGCCAAUGACUCCUUCCACUAGCAAAUGCUGAAACAUCACCUUUUACUUUGUCCCCUGUCUCCUCUGGCCACCUCCUUUGGCUUUCUGAGACAGGGUUUCCCUGUGUAGCCCUGGCUGUCCUGGAACUUGCUCUGUAGACCAGACUGACCUCAAACUCAGAGGUUUGUAUACCUUUGCCUCUCAAGUGCGGUGAGUAAAGGUGUGCGCCACCACACCUAGGUCAUCACCUUUUCUAUUUCCUUUAUUGUCUUCUUUUAAUCUCUCUACAUGGAAAGAGGGUGAUGUUGGUGAGGUUGUUUAAUUUGGGGCUUCAGAAGAUGGUCCAGGUGAAAUGGACACACCAUACUCCAUUUCUCUGGUACUCUUUGCAGGGUUGCUGUUGCUCUCAAAGCCUGUUGCAGCAGAGUUAAUUUCCUGACCCGAAGACACCUCUUUUGCAUAGUUCCUGGAGUCUGCAGUGCUACCCUGGCCCCCUCCAAAUGCCAGCUGCUGCCCAGCAUUCAUUUGUGAACCUGUUCGCAUCCUUCAAACCAGCUGCAAGUGUCUUGCCCAUCUCUGAAUCACUUGUGACUGACUCGGCAACUGACUAUGGCUGGAAGGAUGGGCUAGCGCUUCUAGGACCAAGUUGAAGAAGGCGUAGCCACUUCCUUCCUGUCUGCUUGUGGGAAGCUAGCUGCCCAGUCAUGAGGAGGCAGAAGGUCUAGGAAGAAGCUCACCCAGAGGAGGAAAUAAAGUCUCCUGCCGACAGCCAGCUGCAACUUGUUCUGCAUGUGAGCAAGCCGUCAUAGCAGAGAUUCUUCUAGAACAAACCAAGGGACUUGAUGGUCCAGGAACUAGUUCGGCACCACGGGAGUGAGAACUCACUCGCUUUCCUGAGAACUGCCCAAAACACACAAGAAAGACAUUAAGCCAUCCACUGAAACCUCCACAUGUUCCCACGGAUUGAUUUAGAGGGAUACUCAACCCACAACUAUGGGGUAUCAAGAUCUCAUGAACCCAAAGAGGACACUUAGACCAGGAAGCAGAGGGUGAGAGGCCAGAAAGAGAGGGGUCCCCUGUCACCCAGAGUGAGAAGCCCCCCUCCCGUUCUCAGAGCUCACGUAGGGUGGGGCACUGUGUUUGUUUACACUGGGCAGCUGGGAGAUCUUCCCCUGAAGGACAGGCUCCACACAGCACAGUAUCCUCACUGCCAAGUGCUCUUCGGGUGUCCGUCUCUGCCAUCAGUAUUUUUAGCAUAUGGCCUUUGGAGCCCGAAGAACAACGUCCACCUCCCAGAACUGGUCCUCCAGCUGACAGAUAGGACUGCAUGAAAGAGGGCACUUCAGGGGCCAACCGAGUCGGUGCAAAUCAGAUGCUAACGGCAACCCCUCCGCCCAGAAAUCCCAAGUGGAAGGACGCCUCUCGUGAAAUUGCCUUCCGUGACAGUUACAGACAGCCUGAAGGGAAUACCUGUCCAGGUGAUACGGGACAAGAAAAACACCACGAUGUAAGCAUCGUUUCUACAGAUCUCACAACAGGCCCCAAGCCAACCCCGUUGGGAUUCGUAUCAUGCUUUGUUGCACCAGAUGAAGUCUGAUCUGGGACCGUGCCAGAAAACACGGAAGGAAGACGAGAAAGGGUGAAGAGCUUCUAAAUUAGAUUCUGCUGGGGCCAGGAAAGCAGACACGACUGCCGUGGAGAAGGUCAAUGCAAGCAUUUUAAAAUCGUGUCUUCCUUUUCAUGAUAAUCAAACAUUAAAAUGAGUGCAUUCUCUG
rnacentral:lncRNA from 1 species